ACGACCGCUGGCGGCGCGCCUAACACAUGCAAGUCCCACGAGCGAGAGAGAGCUUGCUUUCUCACGCGAGUGGCGAACGGGUGAGUAACGCGUGAGGAACCUGCCUCAAAGAGGGGGACAACAGUUGGAAACGACUGCUAAUACCGCAUAAGCCCACGGUGCCGCAUGGCACAGAGGGAAAAGGAGCAAUCCGCUUUGAGAUGGCCUCGCGUCCGAUUAGCUAGUUGGUGAGGUAACGGCCCACCAAGGCAACGAUCGGUAGCCGGACUGAGAGGUUGAACGGCCACAUUGGGACUGAGACACCGCCCACACUCCUACGGGAGGCAGCAGUGGGGAAUAUUGCACAAUGGGGGAAACCCUGAUGCAGCGACGCCGCGUGGAGGAAGAAGGUCUUCGGAUUGUAAACUCCUGUUGUUGAGGAAGAUAAUGACGGUACUCAACAAGGAAGUGACGGCUAACUACGUGCCAGCAGCCGCGGUAAAACGUAGGUCACAAGCGUUGUCCGGAAUUACUGGGUGUAAAGGGAGCGCAGGCGGGAAGACAAGUUGGAAGUGAAAUCCAUGGGCUCAACCCAUGAACUGCUUUCAAAACUGUUUUUCUUGAGUAGUGCAGAGGUAGGCGGAAUUCCCGGUGUAGCGGUGGAAUGCGUACAUAUCGGGAGGAACACCAGUGGCGAAGGCGGCCUACUGGGCACCAACUGACGCUGAGGCUCGAAAGUGUGGGUAGCAAACAGGAUUAGAUACCCUGGUAGUCCACUCUGUAAACGAUGAUUACUAGGUGUUGGAGGAUUGACCCCUUCAGUGCCGCAGUUAACACAAUAAGUAAUCCACCUGGGGAGUACGACCGCAAGGUUGAAACUCAAAGGAAUUGACGGGGGCCCGCACAAGCAGUGGAGU
rnacentral:rRNA from 1 species